rnacentral:rRNA from 1 species
UCUGGAGUCAUGCAGCCGGAGCGAAAGCGAGUCUGAACAGGGCGCAUAGUCAGUAGGAGUAGACGCGAAACUUUGUGAUCUACCCUUGGUCAGGAUGAAGUUCCGGUAACACGGGAUGGAGGUCCGAACUAGUAAACGUUGAAAAGUUUUUGGAUGAACUGAGGGUAGGGGUGAAAGGCUAAUCAAACUGAGAAAUAGCUCGUACUCCCCGAAAUGUUUUUAGGAACAGCGUGAGAGUUAAGUUUAUCAGAGGUAGAGCUACCAAUUGGACUAGGGGGAGUCAUAUCCUACCAAAUCCAGAUGAACUCCGAAUGCUGAUAAAUAUAUCUUGCAGUGAGGGCGCGGGUGCUAAGGUCCGUGUCCGAGAGGGAAAGAACCCAGACCAACAGCUAAGGUCCCAAAAUCUACACUAAGUUGAGCUAAGGAGGUCCAGUUGCUGAGACAGCCAGGAUGUUUGCUUGGAAGCAGCAAUUCAUUUAAAGAGUGCGUAACAGCUCACUGGUCGAGCGACAGGGCAUCGAUAAUAAUCGGGCAUCAAGUGUAGUACCGAAGCUUUGGAUUUUAUAGCAAUAUAAACUGGUAGGGGAGCAUUCUAUAUGCGGCGAAGGUCUGAGGACAACUCAGGGUGGAGCGUAUAGAAAAGCAAAUGUAGGCAUAAGUAACGAUAAGGCAGGUGAGAAACCUGCCCACCGAAAGACUAAGGGUUCCGCGGCAAUGUUAAUCAUCCGCGGGUAAGUCGGGACCUAAGGAAAAGCCGAAAGGUGUAUUCGAUGGACAACUGGUUAAUAUUCCAGUACUACCAUAUUGAGCGAUGAGGUGACGGAGUAGUGAUAGCUGCGCGUGCUGACGGAAUAGCACGUUGAAAGGUGUAGGUAUAGGACUUGUAGGAAAAUCCGCAGGUUUUGCUGAAACCCAAUAGUACGAGGAGGCUUCGGCCAAAUUGAUAGACAGUGUAAGCAGACUUCCAAGAAAACCCUCUAAGCAUAUUGAUAUGGUACUCGUACCGUAAACCGACACAGGUAGUCGAGAAGAAGAUUCUAAGGUGCUCGAGUGAAUCUCGGCUAAGGAACUCGGCAAAUUAACCCUGUAACUUCGGGAGAAGGGGUGCCUCCAGCAAUGGAGGUCGCAGAGAAAUGGCCCAGGCGACUGUUUAACAAAAACACAUGGCUAUGCGAAAUCGCAAGAUGAAGUAUAUGGCCUGACACCUGCCCGGUGCUGGAAGGUUAAGGGGGGAAGUUAGUGCGCAAGUGCGAAGCUUUGAACUGAGGCCCCAGUAAACGGCGGCCGUAACUAUAACGGUCCUAAGGUAGCGAAAUUCCUUGUCGGGUAAGUUCCGACCUGCACGAAUGGUGUAACGAUCUGGGCGCUGUCUCAGCCAUGAGCUCGGUGAAAUUGUAGUCACGGCGAAAAAAG